GGGAAUGUAGUUUAGAAGGUUAGAAUGUUGGCCUGUCACGCCAAAGGUCGCGGGUUCAAGUCCCGUCGUUCCCG
rnacentral:tRNA from 1 species